rnacentral:rRNA from 1 species
CGGGUGAGUAAUAUAUCGGAACGUGCCCAGUAGUGGGGGAUAGCCCGGCGAAAGCCGGAUUAAUACCGCAUACGACCUACGGGUGAAAGGGGGGGAUCGCAAGACCUCUCGCUAUUGGAGCGGCCGAUAUCAGAUUAGCUAGUUGGUGGGGUAAAAGCUCACCAAGGCGACGAUCUGUAGCUGGUCUGAGAGGACGACCAGCCACACUGGGACUGAGACACGGCCCAG